rnacentral:lncRNA from 1 species
AACCUAUUGCUAUCUGCAUUUCCCUAGCCAUCAUUAUUAUUAUUUAUUUUAUCUUACUAGCAUCACUGGAGAUAAUCUUGUUUAAUAGGAAAGGAUAUUAUGAAGUAAUCUGCCCCAGGUGUCAGAUACACAGAGCAUGCCCUGCAUCAGAGGCAAGACAGCUUCUCCCCAGCGUCUGAGAAGAGGAUAAGAAGGAAGAGAGUGUUCUCUGGUGAGAGGAUCUAGUGGCAUUAUUUGGUUGAUGGACCAGGAAUAACAAGAAGCAAAGAAUUAUCAUCUUGAAGAAGACCAACUUCAGAAGUACCACUUGCAUUUCUUGCAGAAGAAAGGCAUUCCCUGAGUGAAGGAUGAAGAGUGUAAACCCCUUUUACUUCUCAAAUGUCAAUUCAAGAAAGAAAGGAGCCAUUGCAAGCAGAGUUCCUGGCGAGGCUGGCCCCAGGCAUCCCUGUCAAGUGGAUGCUUACAGUGGCACUUUCAGCUUUCUCCUGCCUUGCUAUACCUGGUGGGCUCUACGCUGUGCUUCAUACAGGCAUUCUACCGUCCCCUCUACCAACUCCCUCUUUCAGGGAAGGAGCUGGAUGUUAUCUUGACUGGCACAAAGGCUGGUUCACAGCUGACAGCUUGUGGUUUCCUACUGACUACAAGUUUUUUUUUUGAAGACUAAAAAUGUC